rnacentral:rRNA from 1 species
ACGGAAGGCAGCAGUGGGGAAUAUUGCACAAUGGGGGAAACCCUGAUGCAGCGACGCCGCGUGAAGGAAGAAGUAUUUCGGUAUGUAAACUUCUAUCAGCAGGGAAGAAAAUGACGGUACCUGACUAAGAAGCCCCGGCUAACUACGUGCCAGCAGCCGCGGUAAUACGUAGGGGGCAAGCGUUAUCCGGAUUUACUGGGUGUAAAGGGAGCGUAGGCGGUCUGACAAGUCAGAAGUGAAAGCCCGGGGCUCAACUCCGGGACUGCUUUUGAAACUGCCGGACUAGAUUGCAGGAGAGGUAAGUGGAAUUCCUAGUGUAGCGGUGAAAUGCGUAGAUAUUAGGAGGAACACCAGUGGCGAAGGCGGCUUACUGGACUGUAAAUGACGCUGAGGCUCGAAAGCGUGGGGAGCAAACAGGAUUAGAUACCCUGGUA